GCAAUGCGAUAAGUAAUGUGAAUUGCAGAAUUCAGUGAAUCAUCGAAUCUUUGAACGCACCUUGCGCUCCUUGGUAUUCCUUGGAGCAUGCCUGUUUGAGUAUCAUGAAAUCUUCAAAGUAAAUCUUUUGUUAACUCAAUUGGUUUCUACUUUGGUAUUGGAGGUCUUUGCAGCUUCACACCUGCUCCUCUUUGUUCAUUAGCUGGAUCUCAGUGUUAUGCUUGGUUCCACUCGGCGUGAUAAGUUAUCUAUCGCUGAGGACACUGUAAAAGGUGGCCAAGGUAAAUGCAGAUGAACCGCUUCUAAUAGUCCAUUGACUUGGACAAUACUUUUAUGAUCUGAUCUCAAAUCAGGUAGGACUACCCGCUGAACUUAAGC
rnacentral:misc_RNA from 1 species